AUGUGCUCCUACCACCUCCUGGUGAGCUCUCUUCCUUCUGGUGCGAGGUGGAGUUGCUCGCUAUGUUCCGCUGCUGCUGAUGCUGGUUGCUCUGCUGCUGCCGAUGCCGCUACUUGCUCUGGUGCUGCUGCCUACUGGUGGUUUUCUGAUCUAACUGGCAUUGACUAUAGUGAAGCUGCAAUUGAGCUUGCUCGAAACCUCGCAAUUCUUGAUGGAUUUGAGCAAAUUAAUUUCCUGGUUGAUGAUAUCCUGGAGAUAAAGUUGGAGAGGGGAUUUGAACUUGUGAUGGAUGAAGGAACUCUGGAUGCAAUAGGGCUCCACCCUGAUGGACCUGUAAAGAGAAUGAUGUAUUGGCAGUCAGUGGCUAGCUUGGUUUAUCAUGGUGGCAUACUGAUGUUGAGGUUUGACUGCCACCAUUGGGGAAAGCCACUAACCGAGCAUGCGCCGUCACGCGGCACUGCCCCCGGCCAUGAACUAGGGUCGGUGGCCGAGCUCGUCGCCGUCCGCCUCGGUGGCCCGCUUCCUCGCUUGCUUCUUUGGGUCCCAAGCACCUGCCACCGGUGGAUGACGAGAUCCGCCACCAACCAUGUACCGGGGAGGAGCUCACCCUCGCGGCCUCUACAUGUCCCCAGCUUACUGAUGUGCCACCCCCAGUUCAUCGUGAUGUUUUUGCACGUCUACAUAUGA
rnacentral:rRNA from 1 species